CAUAUCCUAGUAUGAUGGUUAUGACUCUCAACUUGUAAUCGAGUGGACUCGGGUUUGAAUCCCGAAUGAGACAUGA